UGCAGAGAUUCUUCAGUGCGCGCCAUUUUGGCAAAAAAUCGUUUUCGCGGUCAAUUUUUUGUGGUGCGCAUCGAAAUAUUUUGGAUGCGAUGCUACUGUUCCACAGCUCCGGAAGGCAGGCUCUUAUUAACAAAGCGUCCGGUUGUUUUCCCCCCAUCGGCGAAGACGGUACGGGAAAAUCAUUGGCAGCCGUCGGAAAUGUGCUGAGUCCUUCAAAAUGGGCCGAUGUGAAAUCGGGGAAAAUGCCAUCGGGAAGACCUUGUCGGAACCAGAGAGUCAGGUUCCAGAAUAGCUCAGCUAGUGGCCAACGGGAAGAAACCAGUCUCCUAUCGGAAGUUCCACACUAGAAACGGUCGGCGGUGAUACAGUAAAGUGCAUGGUGCUGGUUAUCAAAAUGUGAAAAAUGAGUGAUCAAAUAUGAUGAAUGAAUGAAUAAAAUUUUAUUGCAAACCUUGAAAA